GCGAGCUGUCCGCUGUAGGAAUCGCAAUCUAACAUGACAGAAAACCACGAGCUAGGGAACCCCCUUAACCCCUCGAUGCAAAUCCCCCCCAGAGUUUAAAAAAUAUAAUGGGGAAGAAACAUGUAAUGUCAUUUUAAAGGCUAGAGUAGAGACUGUAACCUUAAAGUGUAAAAUAUUGCAAACUAUAACCAUAGCUAUUAAGUGAUUAAAACAGCAUGCCACAAAAUUGGCGGGGCAAGUAACAGUAACAAAGAAAGAGUUAAAAGAAUCAAAAGAAGCUACACAGAUCUGGAAUGCUCCCACCCCCCUUGCAGGGUGGCAAGCAGCCCAGAGACAACCAGCACAGGAACAGAAUAAAACAUUGGAAACAGCUGCAAGGAACCUACAAAAAAAACAUUUGCCAUCCCCUGUUAUAAAUAUUGGUGGCAAAGAGCAGGCUUUAGGUAGCUACCCUGUGCCUGAAGAAUGGGGACAGAAGUGGAAAAAGGUAGCCCUAGUAAAAUUAAAAGAUGGGGUCCACUGCAGUGCAACCACCACCUUAUGAUAAAAGCCAGGUUCUGGUAAAACCUAACCUGGGACCUAGACUGGUGCUUGUCAGAACGGGGCAAGUAAGUGCACAAAUGGAAAAAGUAGCACACAAUACUUUCACUGAAUUGGUAAAUCAAAUGAAGGAAAAAAUGGAACAGUUCACAGUGCACAUUACAAGACAGGAGCUGCGACUCAAUUGCAGGGGAGUGAAUAAAAAGGUAUUUCAAAGUCAAAAACUAAAAUUUAGCAGGUUAACACCUAGAAUUGAUGCAUUAACAUAUGGAGUUGCCCCAAAACAGUUAACUGCAGGAAAAAAGGGCACUACUGCAAUCUGUUUGGCAUGCAGACAAAAGCAACAGACACUGGGGGAACAAAUUCAGGUUUUACAAGAGCAGAUAAUUACCCCCACUCUCAUCUCAGAGCCAGGAUUAAAACCCAGGUGUGGUUUCCCAACUGCUUUGACCCAUGGAACCACACUCCGCACUCAGCUAAAAAUAUAACCUCCUUUCUCAAAUAUUUUUACAUACCAGUAUGUUUUCUUUUAUAUCCUUUAUCAGUUGUAACUUGCUGCUACUGCCUGGACCUUAAGAGUUAAUCUCUCUUGGCUCAAGUCUCACUACCUUCCUAGGUAGCUUUUCAACCCCCCACACUCCUUUUUCCCUGCCUCUCCUCACUUCAACUCUUUCUCUGUGUUAAAAGUUAUAGGUUUUACAGAAACCUCCAAAAGAUGAAGCAAUUGAAAACAGAACAAAACAAGAAACAAAAAGAAAAUAAGGUUUUUUUAUUUGUUAUUCAAAGGAAAAAUGUAAGGGGAAACCUCAACAUUAAGUUGCAUCCCACAGACCAAAGACACCGGAAAAUAUCAGUAUACAGUGAAGAAACUCCCAAGCAUCAAGAAAAGAAAAAUGAAGUGCUUUAUAAAUAAGAGACUGGUCAAAUACACCUCUAUCUACCAUAUAUGGACAAUUAAGUUAACAAUCAGCUAAAAACCACUAGCUGGACCAGGAUAAACUGUCAUUUAAUUUCAACUUGAUUAAUUGUGUAAAAACAACUGUAUUAUUGCUGUACUGCUGUAUUAUCGUUGUACUGCUGUAUUAUUGCUAUACAACAUUUACAAUGUGCAUAACUUUGCUAAACUGUUUAACCAACACACAGGUAAAAAUCAACAAAUGAAUGGCAGCAAUCAA